ACAAAAAAUCAAACAAGCGUAAGUGAAUACAAUUUUUUUACGUUUCCUCUUUGUAUUAUCGCAUCGUUAGUAAUUUCUCUUCGUGCAGGUUUUGUCUUCUGUGGACGUAUGGUGAUAUAGAGGCACAAGAGCAUGCUGGUACCAGAACUGCUGCCGUUAAUCAAAGUCGGAAGGUGCUUUGGUAGAUUUCAAUAAGCAGGGGGGUAGUACCUUCUGCUGAAGAACCCAUUAUAAACUGGCUGAUGUAUGCAGCGAGAAGACUGUUUAUGUUUUUCUUUAAGUUUCGUUGCAUCUAGUCAUUGCUAUUUUUGUUUUAAAGAUUAGGAUUUAUUUCUUUACGUUGUUUUCAUGUUUCAUCAAAUAAAGUCAACAUUCUACUCACAAAAAAAAAAACAAAAAAAAAAACUGUUUCUCUAUGUACUGUUUACCCUUCACCUUACUAUAUAAAUUCCAGAGUUAUACCUAAAUUUGAGAUUCAGAUCUGCGUGUAGCACCUUUGUACAUGGAGACUUUACGUCGAUAUCACGUUGAAUCGACGUGAUCAACACGUCGAUAAAUCGUGGAUGAGAUAGUCAAAUUCACGUGGAUAACACGUGAAUUUGCCACGUGUUUUCCACGUAUAACACCACGUCGAUUCCACGUCUUUUCCACCAAAAUUUCUCUCUGGGUUUACGAUAAAUUGCAAGUACGAAUCAAAGUUGUUCACCGGCUGCUUGUUGCGUCACCCUAAAGGUCCAUGUUGUUAACCCCUUGUGUAUCACUGUUUCAUGUGCUUGGCUGCGUGAGGUGCUGGAGGACACCUACAGCAAACCCACUCUAUGAAAAGUGUACAAUGAAUCGCAAUGAAUGACUCGAAUCGCUGGUGUCAACGCAGGGCCGAACUAUGUAGUCCAGUGCACGACAUGGAACCGCGGUGGGCCGUAUGCCUCGUGGUCGCCAGUUUCAAUGGGCGAGGCCCUGAGACCCUGCUCCCUGAACAUGUUGGUUCUGUUCCGCAGCCUUACGCUUGAGGCUAGCAGGCUGGUCUUUGACCAAAACGUGGUAACCUGUACCGCUUUGGCAUGUGCUAGCAAGGCACUGCAGUUGGUCCGAGUGGCCCCAUGAAAGCGGUAAAAAGUACUGCUCCACCUAAGUGAAUCACUGCGGGUGCUCAAUGAGUUUGGCUACUUUAGCAAGUCAUUGCCCUUGUCGCCCUUGCACGCCCUGAGAAGUCAGAUUGCGUUAACAGUGUUGUUUUGACAACUGAAUGCUGAAGCAUACCGAGGCGUUUGUCCUUGUUUGUUCGCAAUAAAGAGAAAAUUUAUUUGCGCAACAUUUGUACAUUUUCAAUGCUACCCUGGAGUUGAAUUCCUCAAUGCCUAAAAAAGAGGGUCUUGCCUAUUUGGACAGCUGUGUCAUGCUUAACACUAGUGCAAAGACAUUCAAAACUGGAUUGAAUGAAAUUCUGAGAAUUUUACUCAUUUGCAGUCCAAGGCCUAGUGUCUCGAAACUCAAAACUGAACGGAAACUGGACAAAGACUGUAGUACAGUACAGUGCAUACAUGAACCCGUCCAAAGUAUCACAUUGAUACCCAGAUAAGGCACCCUGCAAUGAACUGAGUUGGCAUAGGAUAUAACUCAACAAAUUAGUACCACAAUGGACCUCAGUGAGUGGAGUGUGACACACAAGUCUAGACUGAUCACCUAGCUUUUGUUGUGCUUCUACACUGCCCGUCCCAAUCCAAAACAGACAUGCAAAGAUGUCCCCACUGUACAAACAAAAGUGAGGUACCCUCAAUCUGCAACAUAACAAGCCGAGCGCAGUGGAAGUAAGCCGAAAGGCAGUUAUGUUGUCAGAAAACAGUCCCCCCCCACACCUCUUGGUACAAAGACUGAGGUAGUGCUGGUUGAAAACCCGAAGCAGUUCUCACUGUCAGCCAUGUAGGGGUGGAAUUCACAACCCGGAGGGCAUGGGCUUAUCACAUUCAAUCCUACCUACUGUGUUUGGUUUUGGUGUUGUUUAAACCCCUCUGUCUCCCUGUGAGGACAAAACUGGAAAGCAAUUUGGAGUGGAGAUGGUACGACACCACAUGGUGCACAAAUAAAUAAUCCCCGAAUCGAUUGAAAGAGAGAUUUGCACAUCUUAGUUUGUUUUUUUUAAAGGAAAAGAAAAGCAAGUUGUAGAUUGUAUCUUCAUAUUACAAAUGGUGACAUGCUCGAACAAAACAGAGCAAGAUUUAGAUCUGAUUCGUGGGGAAAAUAAAAACACUACUGGAGUACCAAAAUCUCUCUCCACACAUUCAGCUUACCUCCAGAAACGCAACUCCUUAUUGCGCAUCAAACAACUACUGUGAUAGUGCCAAAGGUAGAGUGAAAUGUUCCAGAGAAUAGCUAAUCAAAGUACAGGACUGAGGCCAGGCCUAAUCUGAACUAAUCUCUGCGAGAGACAUAUUUCCAUGCUCGACCACAGUCCUUUAACAGGACCAAAUGAGCAAGUCACGGGAAUGGAUUUAGGUUGAGAACUGGAAAUCACUCAAAAAGUUUCCUCGCUAUUCUGGCCAAACAAUCACUUGUCGCCUUGUAUUUUAGCUGAUGAUGGUGACCAGGAGUGUCACUUGAGCCCAAACAUUAGCUCAAAUGAUACGAUUGUCCAACAGCAACAAAUCACAUUUGCUCCACAUUUGUAGCGUCCCAAAAGGCCAUUAAUUCUUGCACACUCAGCAAGCAAGACUGCAUUGAAGGGCACUUGUUGGCACCAAUCAGUGGUCCUGACAUACAUGCUCCUAUGUCGAAGGUUGAUGACACAACAAAAUAAGUGUUGAGUCUCCGGCUUAAUCUGCCACUUCCAAAACGGGUGUUGCCCUUAUGAGAGUAGAUGAGGCAGUUGGCUGAUGCAAGACUGUGAUCAAAAGUGCACCUCGAACACUGAAUGCUUGGCUGUUCCCCAGUAACUCUGAACUUUGAUCAACAGUAACUAACUGGUAGGGCUACAUAGCACAAUAAUGUGGCUACUCCAUCAAAAGAAGGGUGAUGAAUGAAAGAAAAAAAAAAAAAGGAAGGAAGGGAGGUAAAGGACUCAGUCAUGAAACUGGAUUAUGUCAUGUUGAGCUUUUGUAGCAAAAGUCAAUCGACGACACCAGUUAUUGCACAAAUGUGUGUUUGGCACACGCGACCCCUUCAAGGUUUACCAUAACCCCAAAGCUCUCAGUACUUAUCGGACAACAAUGAAAUUACAGUCAGACAGUCUCGCUCCUAGCUCCGAAGUAAAGCUGAGGUUUGCCAGACCAAUGAGCCAACUGACAAAAUGUUCGUUGUUCCAUUAAUUUCAAUAGUACAGACAGACUGAACCAAUUAUUUCUGACGCUGCAGCCUCGCGGGCCUAGCAGAACAACACUGGAUGUUUACCAGCGGUGUCUGGAUGUUUACCAGUGCAAGUUUCUCAUAUUAGAUGUCGAGCCGAUGCAGUUAACCCACCCAAUCACAGAGCCAGAUUUACAUAUGUACCGGGGUUACAUAGAGUUAAAGAGAUAUAUCCCUUUAAAUGGAAGGGGGGAGGUGUCGUGGUAUGGGUGGCAGCACUGCUGUUGUCUGCAUCGUCUACUAUACAGCUUCCAUAACCCGCCGACUGAUGGCGCCACUGUCGCCUAUCGAACCUUACUUGUUACCUUGGAACCAAUAAAGAUUCUCUUGCUACACUGACCA